UGCCAGCAGCCGCGGUAAUACGGAGGGAGCGAGCGUUAAUCGGAAUUACUGGGCGUAAAGCGCGCGUAGGCGGCUUUGUAAGUCGGAUGUGAAAGCCCCGGGCUCAACCUGGGAAUGGCAUUCGAUACUGCAGAGCUAGAGUAUGGUAGAGGGAAGUGGAAUCUCCGGUGUAGCGGUGAAAUGCGUAGAUAUCGGAAGGAACACCGGUGGCGAAGGCGACUUCCUGGGCCGUAACUGACGCUGAGGCUCGAAAGCGUGGGGAGCAAACAGGAUUAGAUA
rnacentral:rRNA from 1 species